rnacentral:tRNA from 2 species
GCUUAUAUAGUUUAAUUAAAACUUUAAUUUGUGGAUUUAACGAUGUGAAAUUUCACUUUAGGCC